AAUUUAGUCUCUAAGUGUAGGUUGCCCUAUGUAAAAUUGAUACGCAAGGAGAUUAAGGAUAGGAGGUAUCUAAACUUAAGCGGGACUUUUCUUCCCGCUGACUUGUGCAAAGAGAAAGAAAAGGGAUCGGAUGUGGCAAAAACUUGUCAAUCCCCGCAGAAAGAGAGUAGAACAAGUGCCUCCAAAGAUCACAGUGUGGCGGAACCUGAAAAGGUCUCCGUAAAGAAAGUCAAAACCAUCGAUAGGUCGGGUAAGCUUCAUCUCUCUACAGACCACUCAGUUGAGAGUAGGACUGAGAUUUCCGGUGUGUAUGCUGUUGAUCUGAGCUCUAAAUUAGCAGAAGAAGAACCCGUUUUAAAUGCAAAAUCAAGCAAAGAGACUCAGUCAUCGUCCAAACAAACAGACCAUUCAGAAUGCAAGAACAAUCCUGGUUCUGUUGUGCCAAACAAGUCCUCUGGGCCGAAAACGGUUCAGAAGAACACGUUUCAUCCGUCUCAGCGUCGACUGCAAAUGCCGUGUCGGAUCACCGUGAAGAGGAACCGCAGUGUGAGAAUUCCCUCACGCCUGAAAGCUUUCAUCCAAGAAAACCCAAGAAGGUUUCUAGUAAAUCUAAACGUGUCCGAGAUGUGAAUAAAGUUCUACAAACGCAACCCGCACACCUACCAGCCAGCAAUCGUCUGAUGACGAGAGCGCUGAGGGCCAUGAACGAUUCAACAAAACAGGACAAAGUUGGAAAGAAAGCUGAGCAAAAACAGAUCCUCAAGUCUUUUAGAAAGGCUGAUAAAGUUGUGAAGAAUCAUAAACCUAAACAUGAGUUUCAUACGAAAGUAAAAGCUUUGAAAUCCCACCAUUCUGACAAAGGUGAACGUGAUCAGGGUAAAAUUUCAAGCAGCAGUUCCUUCUCUUUAAUGUUUUCUGAUUCAAAUGAUUCUGAAGAUGUCAAGAGUGAAGAUGAAGACCUUUCAAUAUCCUCUACGCCACCAAUGGACUUCAUACCGCUUACUUCAAAAGUCAAAGCAAAGUACGAGGGUCAGUCCUCCGACAAAUACUCAACAUCUCCCCCAUCGCCGUUUUCCUUUCUCAGAGCUUUCAAAAAUGUGGAGGAAGUUUCCUUCCAGUCUCUAGGGGCUGACAGAAGUGGUAAGCCCAUUUCUCUCAAGCCAAAGCCAAACUGCAAGUUCAGCACUUUUCUCAUGAUGUUGAAGGACUUGCAUGACACCAGAGAGCGGGAUGGAACGCCGCUCGAGCUGGAGAUCGGACCACCGAGCGCUCAUGUUAAGGAAGAGCCGCUGGUGAUGCCAGGAGAGAAUGCAUCUGCGGGACGGGAUCAAGAAUCUGCAUCUGGAGGACAGGAUCAAGAAACUGCAUACGCUCUGAGCGAUUCGAGUGCAAUCACAGACAAAAGCGUGGAGGCUUUAAAUGAAGGAGGUGCGAGUCAGACACUGAAGAAACCCUCUAACAGGAGAGGCAACUCCGGUUGGUUCAAAAGGAAACCCAACCGCAGGGCGCCUUGUUCUCCUGCCAAGUCUGGACCCGGUUUUCCAGGCCUAGAGUCUCUUUUAGAAAUGAUGCCAACAGAGGACUCCCUGGAAAACAUGGGGUGGUCAUCAAGAGUUGUGGACUUCCAGAGCAGCAGCUGGGAGGAGCGAGCUGGAGGGAGCGAUCUGGUGGUUGGUGAAGAGCAUGAGGAGAGCUUGUGGAGCAGAGCAAAAGAGAAUCUAACAGUCCCUGUGCCUUUGGAGCAGAGGGAGUGUGGCAUGGUGGAGGAACAGCCAAACUGCCUCAUUUCAGACUUUGUCAAGAGAGAUUCAAUCUUUGCACACAAAUCUGGAGAAGAAGACAAGACUCCAGGAGCGCAUAAACGGAUCAGAAAACCCAGCAAGAGGCUGAUCGAAUGGACCGAAGAGUACGAGCAAAUUUUCUGCACGAGGAAGAAAAUCAAAAAGCCUCUCCAGUUGAUUGGAAAGGCCAGUCCAACACCCUUUACCUCCGCGCCUGAACUCCUGGACUCUGAUAACAACGCGAGCGACCCCCCUCCCUCGACUGUGCUCCCGGAAAUACAGACCCCCCCUCCUGAGGAAAUCCCUGCAGCGACACCACCGGAACUACCAAUUCCUGACAACCAACACACCUGUCCUCAAGUCACACCGGUGCUGUCCACAGACACACUGACACCCCCACCCGAUGUGGAGCCCCUACUGUCAGAAGUUAUUCCUAAAGACAAUAGGGAAGCAAGUCUGCCUGUGCUGGAAAAGAAGCGGAAGAGGAAACCCACCCAGAAGAUUCUGGAAUACUGUCUGGAGGCAGAAGCCUCAACGGGCCCAAAGAAGAAGAUCAAAGGACUAAGAAAUAAUUCAAGCUCUGCCCCUCAUUCAGAUUCUGCUCCACCACCACCAUUAAAACUGAAGACUAAAGUAGCUUUGACCCCCACGCCAACGUCUGAGGUCACCACCUGCACAUCCACACCAUCUAUUCAGAUCAAUCACAGAGCCGCUCUGCCCCCCCAUCCAGCCCCGUCUCCACCUGAGCCCGGGCAGGAGGACACAGCAGAACCAGAUGCGCCUCCUCACGCUGAGGAGCAGAACACCCAGAUGACCCAAAGGAUGUGUCAGAGGGAGAGGGGGACCAGUGCAGCCUGGACCACAGCUUCUCCUCCGGAAAGGACGACUUGGGACUCUGUGACGAUUCUACUUUACCGGCGAGGAAGAUCAUAGGGG
ensembl:lncRNA